rnacentral:rRNA from 1 species
CCUACGGGAGGCAGCAGUGAGGAAUAUUGGUCAAUGGCCGGAAGGCUGAACCAGCCAAGCCGCGUGAAGGACGAAGGUGCCAAGCAUUGUAAACUUCUUUUGUCAAGGGACAAAAUCAGGCUCGAGAGCCUGACCGAGGGUACUUGAAGAAAAAGCAUCGGCUAACUCCGUGCCAGCAGCCGCGGUAAUACGGAGGAUGCGAGCGUUAUCCGGAUUUAUUGGGUUUAAAGGGUGCGUAGGCGGACUGUUAAGUCAGCGGUAAAAGGCCGGGGCUCAACCCCGGCGAGCCGUUGAAACUGGCUGUUUUGAGAUGUCGAGAGGUAGGCGGAAUGCGCAGUGUAGCGGUGAAAUGCUUAGAUAUUGCGAAGAACUCCGAUUGCGAAGGCAGCAUACCGGCGGCGAUCUGACGCUGAGGCACGAAAGCGUGGGUAUCGAACAGGAUUAGAUACCCCUGUGUC